AGCGAACGCUAGCGGCGGGCCUAACACAUGCAAGUCGAGCGCAUACCUUCGGGUAUGAGCGGCGGACGGGUGAGUAACACGUAGGUAAUCUACCCUUUGGUGGGGAAUAACCCGGGGAAACUCGGGCUAAUGCCGCACGAGGUCUACGGAUCAAAGCCUUCGGGCGCCAGAGGAUGAGCCUGCGUUGCAUUACCUAGUUGGCGGGGUAACGGCCCACCAAGGGGACGAUGCAUAGCUGGUCUGAGAGGAUGAUCAGCCACACUGGGACUGAGACACGGCCCAGACUCCUACGGGAGGCAGCAGUGGGGAAUAUUGCGCAAUGGGGGAAACCCUGACGCAGCUACGCCGCGUGGGUGAUGAAGGCCUUCGGGUUGUAAAGCCCUGUCGGGAGGGACGAAUUACUGACGGUACCUCCCAAGAAAGACACCGGCUAACUCCGUGCCAGCAGCCGCGGUAAU
rnacentral:rRNA from 1 species